CUAUUACAGGUACGGGCUCUGAGAGGAGUAGCCCGGAGAUGGGUACUGAGACACGGACCCAGGCCCUAUGGGGCGCAGCAGGCGAGAAAACUUUGCAAUGUGCGAAAGCACGACAAGGUUAAUCCGAGUGGUUUGUGCUAAACGAACCUUUUGACAGUCCUAGAAACACUGUUGAAUAAGGGGUGGGCAAGUUCUGGUGUCAGCCGCCGCGGUAAUACCGGCGCCUCAAGUGGUAGUCGCUUUUAUUGGGCCUAAAACGUCCGUAGCCGGUCUGAUACAUUCGUGGGUAAAUCAACCAGCUCAACUGGUUGAAUUCUGCGAGGACGGUCAGACUUGGGACCGGGAGAGGUGUGGGGUACGCUCAGGGUAGGGGUAAAAUCCUGUCAUCCUGAGCGGACCACCUGUUGCGAAGGCGCCACACUAGAACGA
rnacentral:rRNA from 1 species